rnacentral:lncRNA from 11 species
UCUCUAACAGAAGUACUUCUGGUUGACUACCAUACAGUAAGGAUGAUUCUUGGAGGCUGCUCUUAUACGCUUCUCUUGGGGACUGUAGUCUUCCUGCAGAAUGUUCUCAGUUAUGAAAAACCAGCCUGGGCAACAACUGGCUUCGACCUGCCAUCACAGGAACGAGAGCAACUGUUGGAGAGAGAGCCAUCUAAUGUCUAUAAUAUUUUUUGCUUAGACAUUUCAGAAAGGACCCUAGAGAAGUUGUUUAUUAGUGGUGCAGUGCUGCUCGUCACAGUUAUUGCUAUAUCUAUACUAUACAUUUCACUGAAACACAUGAAAAGCGUUAAGCCCAGUCAGGCCAUGACCAAGACACCAGCCGCUUUAGAAGCUAAAAGCGAAUGGAUCCAGGAUCAUACAAAAAUGCUUGAACAGUUGGUGAAAAGCACCCACAAGAUCAACAAAGACAUUAAGUAUGUCCUAUGCCAUGAGAUGAAAGUACUGAAAUCUGAAUAAAGAACAAGAAGAAAGAUCUAAUUUUUAUUGUGGUUUUAGUGAUAUUUACAGCGAAAGUGGGAGAAAACAUUGGUCGGAAUAGUGAUAGAGAAAG